rnacentral:rRNA from 1 species
GUACACAAAAAUGCACAUAUUGUGAGCUCGAUGAGUAGGGCGGGACACGUGGUAUCCUGUCUGAAUAUGGGGGGACCAUCCUCCAAGGCUAAAUACUCCUGACUGACCGAUAGUGAACCAGUACCGUGAGGGAAAGGCGAAAAGAACCCCGGCGAGGGGAGUGAAAAAGAACCUGAAACCGUGUACGUACAAGCAGUGGGAGCCUCUUUAUGGGGUGACUGCGUACCUUUUGUAUAAUGGGUCAGCGACUUAUAUUCUGUAGCAAGGUUAACCGAAUAGGGGAGCCGAAGGGAAACCGAGUCUUAACUGGGCGUUAAGUUGCAGGGUAUAGACCCGAAACCCGGUGAUCUAGCCAUGGGCAGGUUGAAGGUUGGGUAACACUAACUGGAGGACCGAACCGACUAAUGUUGAAAAAUUAGCGGAUGACUUGUGGCUGGGGGUGAAAGGCCAAUCAAACCGGGAGAUAGCUGGUUCUCCCCGAAAGCUAUUUAGGUAGCGCCUCGUGAAUUCAUCUCCGGGGGUAGAGCACUGUUUCGGCAAGGGGGUCAUCCCGACUUACCAACCCGAUGCAAACUGCGAAUACCGGAGAAUGUUAUCACGGGAGACACACGGCGGGUGCUAACGUCCGUCGUGAAGAGGGAAACAACCCAGACCGCCAGCUAAGGUCCCAAAGUCAUGGUUAAGUGGGAAACGAUGUGGGAAGGCCCAGACAGCCAGGAUGUUGGCUUAGAAGCAGCCAUCAUUUAAAGAAAGCGUAAUAGCUCACUGGUCGAGUCGGCCUGCGCGGAAGAUGUAACGGGGCUAAACCAUGCACCGAAGCUGCGGCAGCGACACUAUGUGUUGUUGGGUAGGGGAGCGUUCUGUAAGCCUGUGAAGGUGGCCUGUGAGGGUUGCUGGAGGUAUCAGAAGUGCGAAUGCUGACAUAAGUAACGAUAAAGCGGGUGAAAAGCCCGCUCGCCGGAAGACCAAGGGUUCCUGUCCAACGUUAAUCGGGGCAGGGUGAGUCGACCCCUAAGGCGAGGCCGAAAGGCGUAGUCGAUGGGAAACAGGUUAAUAUUCCUGUACUUGGUGUUACUGCGAAGGGGGGACGGAGAAGGCUAUGUUGGCCGGGCGACGGUUGUCCCGGUUUAAGCGUGUAGGCUGGUUUUCCAGGCAAAUCCGGAAAACCAAGGCUGAGGCGUGAUGACGAGGCACUACGGUGCUGAAGCGACAAAUGCCCUGCUUCCAGGAAAAGCCUCUAAGCAUCAGGUAACAUCAAAUCGUACCCCAAACCGACACAGGUGGUCAGGUAGAGAAUACCAAGGCGCUUGAGAGAACUCGGGUGAAGGAACUAGGCAAAAUGGUGCCGUAACUUCGGGAGAAGGCACGCUGAUAUGUAGGUGAAGCGACUUGCUCGUGGAGCUGAAAUCAGUCGAAGAUACCAGCUGGCUGCAACUGUUUAUUAAAAACACAGCACUGUGCAAACACGAAAGUGGACGUAUACGGUGUGACGCCUGCCCGGUGCCGGAAGGUUAAUUGAUGGGGUUAGCGGUAACGCGAAGCUCUUGAUCGAAGCCCCGGUAAACGGCGGCCGUAACUAUAACGGUCCUAAGGUAGCGAAAUUCCUUGUCGGGUAAGUUCCGACCUGCACGAAUGGCGUAAUGAUGGCCAGGCUGUCUCCACCCGAGACUCAGUGAAAUUGAACUCGCUGUGAAGAUGCAGUGUACCCGCGGCAAGACGGAAAGACCCCGUGAACCUUUACUAUAGCUUGACACUGAACAUUGAGCCUUGAUGUGUAGGAUAGGUGGGAGGCUUUGAAGUGUGGACGCCAGUCUGCAUGGAGCCGACCUUGAAAUACCACCCUUUAAUGUUUGAUGUUCUAACGUUGGCCCGUAAUCCGGGUUGCGGACAGUGUCUGGUGGGUAGUUUGACUGGGGCGGUCUCCUCCUAAAGAGUAACGGAGGAGCACGAAGGUUGGCUAAUCCUGGUCGGACAUCAGGAGGUUAGUGCAAUGGCAUAAGCCAGCUUGACUGCGAGCGUGACGGCGCGAGCAGGUGCGAAAGCAGGUCAUAGUGAUCCGGUGGUUCUGAAUGGAAGGGCCAUCGCUCAACGGAUAAAAGGUACUCCGGGGAUAACAGGCUGAUACCGCCCAAGAGUUCAUAUCGACGGCGGUGUUUGGCACCUCGAUGUCGGCUCAUCACAUCCUGGGGCUGAAGUAGGUCCCAAGGGUAUGGCUGUUCGCCAUUUAAAGUGGUACGCGAGCUGGGUUUAGAACGUCGUGAGACAGUUCGGUCCCUAUCUGCCGUGGGCGCUGGAGAACUGAGGGGGGCUGCUCCUAGUACGAGAGGACCGGAGUGGACGCAUCACUGGUGUUCGGGUUGUCAUGCCAAUGGCACUGCCCGGUAGCUAAAUGCGGAAGAGAUAAGUGCUGAAAGCAUCUAAGCACGAAACUUGCCCCGAGAUGAGUUCUCCCUGACUCCUUGAGAGUCCUGAAGGAACGUUGAAGACGACGACGUUGAUAGG